rnacentral:rRNA from 1 species
AUACGGAAGGUCCGGGCGUUAUCCGGAUUUAUUGGGUUUAAAGGGAGCGCAGGCGGCACUUCAAGCGUGACGUUAAAUUUCGGGGCUCACCCCCGUUUUGCGUCGCGAACUGUUGUGCUUGAGUAGGCGGCAGGGAGGCGGAAUUCGCGGUGUGGCGGGGAAAUGCUUAGCUAUCGCGAGGAACUCCGAUAGCGCAGGCAGCCUCCCGUUUCUUUACUGACGCUCAUGCUCGAAGGUGCGGGUAUCGAACAGGAUUAGAUACCCUGGUAGUCCGCACUGUAAACGAUGGAUGCCCGCUGUUGGGCCGUUUGGGUUCAGUGGCCAAGAGAAAUCGUUAAGCAUCCCACCUGGGGAGUACGCCGGCAACGGUGAAACUCAAAUGAAUUGGCGGGG